rnacentral:rRNA from 1 species
CCCUUAGAUGUUCUGGGCCGCACGCGCGCUACACUGAUGCAUUCAACGAGCCUAUCCUUGACCGACAGGUCCGGGUAAUCUUUGAAUCUGCAUCGUGACGGGGAUAGAUUAUUGCAAUUAUUAAUCUUCAACGAGGAAUGCCUAGUAGGCACAAGUCAUCAGCUUGCGUCGAUUACGUCCCUGCCCUUUGUACACACCGCCCGUCGCUCCUACCGAUUGGGUGUGCUGGUGAAAUGUUCGGAUCGGCCGUUUGUCGCGGUUUCCGCGGCUCGUGGCUGAGAAGUUCAUUAAACCCUCCCACCUAGAGGAAGGAGAAGUCGUAACA